UCCCCAGUGGCGCAAUUGGUUAGCGCGCGGUACUUAUAAUGCCGAGGUUGUGAGUUCGAUCCUCACCUGCGCAA
rnacentral:tRNA from 1 species